rnacentral:piRNA from 1 species
UGAAACCUUUAAACUAUUCUAGACACAAGC